rnacentral:ncRNA from 2 species
CGACGUCUUCAGGGCGGGGUGCAAUUCCCCACCGGCGGUAUGGCUGCCUGCGCAGCCGAGCCCGCGAGCGCUUUUGCCGCCCGGCAAAAGGUCAGCAGAUCUGGUGCGAUGCCAGAGCCGACGGUCACAGUCCGGAUGAAAGAAGAUGACG